GCACGCACGCGCACACACACACACACACCUCUCUCUCUCUCUCUCUCUCUCUGUGUGUGUGUGUGUGUGUGUGUGUGUGUGUGUGUGU